CCACCUCCUGUUAAUUCACAUAAAAUGAUGACCCGGGCCAAACGUGGUUUCACUCAACCACGCCGCCUAUUCUCCCUCACCGCCUCCCAAACUAUCUCACCCCUUCCUUCUUCCUAUAAAGCAGCCUUAAAGGAUCACCAUUGGUACGAUGCUAUGCUUGCUGAAUAUACUGCUUUGCUAAAGAACGAUACAUGGAGUUUGGUUCCUCGUCCUGCAGGUGUCAAUGUGGUUACCGGGAAAUGGAUCUUCCGCCACAAAUUCAAUCCGGAUGGCUCCCUCUCCCGGUACAAGGCGCGUUGGGUUCUUCGUGGGUUCACGCAGCAGGAGGGCGUUGACUACACGGAGACUUUUAGCCCGGUUGUCAAACCGGCCACGGUGCGGGUCAUCCUCAGCAUUGCCACCGCCUCCUCUUGGCCGAUCCACCAACUCGAUGUCAAAAACGCCUUUCUUCAUGGUGAUCUUGGCGAGACUGUCUAUUGCCACCAACCGGCGGGGUUCCUUGACUCCUCUCGGCCUAAUCAUGUCUGUCUUCUUAAGAAGUCUUUAUAUGGCUUGAAACAGGCUCCACGCACUUGGUUUCUGCGUUUCCGCUCCUAUCUUCUCUCAUUGGGGUUUACUUCCUCCAAGUGCGACCCCUCUUUAUUCAUCCUUCACCAUGGCUCUUCGGUUGCAUAUCUACUUCUUUAUGUAGAUGACAUAAUCCUCACCGCCAACUCCGUCACCACCCUCAACUCUGUCAUCGCGUCCCUCAAGACAGAGUUUGCCAUGUCCGACCUCGGUGACACACACCACUUUCUUGGUGUCAAUGUAACCCGCAACACAUCUGGUCUGUUCCUCUCUCAACAGCAAUACGUCCUUGAAAUCUUGGACCGCGCCCACAUGCUCAAUUGUAAACCCAUCUCCACUCCCAUAGACACAAAGGCCAAACUCUCUAUCCAUGAUGGUGAUUCCCUGCCUAACCCAACCCUCUACCGCAGCCUAGCUGGUGCCCUCCAAUAUCUUACAUUAACACGGCCUGAUAUCUCAUAUGCCGUGCAACAUGCGUGUCUCUUCAUGCAUGCCCCUCGCACCACCCACUUUCAGCUCCUCAAACGCAUCCUACGCUAUCUACAGGGCACUUCUCACUUCGGUCUCCAGCUCUACAAAUCACCAUCUCAUGAGCUUAUUGCCUAUUCCGAUGCUGAUUGGGCCGGCUGCCCCGACACCCGGAAAUCAACCUCCGGCUUUUGUGUUUUCCUUGGCUCUAAUUUGGUCUCCUGGUCUUCUAAGCGGCAACCUACGGUUUCCCGCUCUAGUGCGGAGGCCGAAUACCGUGCGGUGGCGAACUGUGUUGCGGAAACUACAUGGCUGCGCCAACUACUUCACGAGCUCCGUCGCCCUCCAUCUCGCGCCACCGUGGUGUACUGCGACAACAUCAGUGCGAUGUAUCUCUUCUCCAACCCUGUUCAGCAUCAGCGGACCAAGCAUGUGGAGAUUGACCUGCAUUUC
rnacentral:rRNA from 1 species